UAGGGAAUCUUCGGCAAUGGGGGGAACCCUGACCGAGCAACGCCGCGGGAGUGAAGAAGGUUUUCGGAUCGUAAAGCUCUUUUGUUAAGGAAGAACGAGUGUGAGAAUGGAAAGUUCAUGCUGUGACGGUACUUAACCAGAAAGGGACGGCUAACUACGUGCCAGCAGCCGCGGUAAUACGUAGGUCCCGAGCGUUGUCCGGAUUUAUUGGGCGUAAAGCGAGCGCAGGCGGUUAGAAAAGUCUGAAGUGAAAGGCAGUGGCUCAACCAUUGUAGGCUUUGGAAACUGUUUAACUUGAGUGCAGAAGGGGAGAGUGGAAUUCCAUGUGUAGCGGUGAAAUGCGUAGAUAUAUGGGGGAACACCGGUGGCGAAAGCGGCUCUCUGGUCUGUAACUGACGCUGAGGCUAGAAAGCGUGGGGAGCGAACAGG
rnacentral:rRNA from 1 species